rnacentral:lncRNA from 1 species
CAACAACAACAACAACCACUGUAAACCAUGAUGUUUUCCCAUCUUGCAACUUACGGUUUGUUAAGUCCAUACAAAGCGGCUGGUCAGGAGAGCAGAGGUCCAUCAGACCCCACCUGGGCCACUCAUAACAGGGACCGUGGUCCCCAGCCCAGGCAGGAGAAGCAGAGAGAUUUCCAACCCAAGCCCUGAGCACACUCACGGCUCUUAAACAAGCCUAGUCUGUAGUUUCAUCUGACCAUCAACGUCCUCGGAAAGUGUAAAUAGAAAAGUGACUGACAGCGGCUUUGUCCCCGUGUCUAAGAAAUCUCCCGCUAAAAUAGGCUCGGAAAGGAGCCAACUGAAAGUGAAAUGCUAAAGAAGGAAGCACAAAGAUUGCUGGUACUUAAUAUAAAUUUACAUCAUAAAGGCCAUUUCAGGCUCCAGUGUCUCAGAGACGUGCCUUCAUUUGGGACUGACUUCAGUUUCAUGUUAAUUUGCUGUAGUUAAAGCUACCUAAGUGGAUGUGCAAUGCCAAGCCUUUCAUUUCUUGAUGAUAAUUUCUAAAAGCUAUUAUUGAUCCAUUUGGUUUGAAAGCUUGCUGCAGCUCGAGGAAGCUGGGGAGAUGUCUGCUCUGCAGCACAGAUGAGACAUAAGUGGUUUCUAAAACAAUUUUGACCUUUCUUAGCCACGGCGGGUGUGAGGAUAACAAGGGCAAAUCUUCAGGCUUCAGACCCAUUUUUGGGUUGGAGGCUUCACAUUACCUAAAAGUUGAGGAAAGCUGCUUGGUCCUGGAGUUAAAGCUGUUGUUCAAUGUGGGCGCACACACGUGCACACAGCGCUCCUUAAACUCUGCCUCUCUCUUGUUUGCUGCUUUCCAUCCCACGGGGGAAAAACAAACCAGGUCCUCACUAAGCAGAAAAGGCUUUUUUAUUUAUUUACCUAUUUUUCUGUGUGUGGAGAAAGUUUAAAACCUGUUUCUCUUCUUCCUUG